ACUCAGCAUCAAGAGAAGGGCCUCGGCCCGCACCAACCUGCCAACACCCGGCAAGGUGGUCGCCCGAAAGGGGAUGCGGCCAAACCGGCAACUAAAGGGCAGGCC
ncrna:unclassified sequences SAM-I/IV variant riboswitch